AUCACAGUGAAGUUGAUGACAGUUGUUGUGUUCCACGCUAACGGGUUGUAAACAAUGACAUGUUGCUCCAGAGCCUGAUGAACACCUGGGACAAGGAGAUUAAAGGAGGAAUAUGGAGCUAUUUGAUUCAGGUACGGUGCAACAGCUAGGAGGUGACUAGCCAAGCUUUCCAUAAAGACUACAAGCUAACCUGGCUCCUCCCAAGCGGGUCCCGAGGAUGCUGGGUAAUUCAAGGUUGUGGGGCAGCAGGAAGAGUGCGGCCAGAAGCUCCUCCACUCCCAUCAUGGCCUGCAGGAGAUGCUGCACGUACAUGUCUGCCACUUUGGGAGACUCUGUGCCAGU